rnacentral:rRNA from 1 species
CCUGAUCCAGCAAUGCCGCGUGAGUGAUGAAGGCCUUCGGGUUGUAAAGCUCUUCGCACGCGACGAUGAUGACGGUAGCGUGAGAAGAAGCCCCGGCUAACUUCGUGCCAGCAGCCGCGGUAAUACGAAGGGGGCUAGCGUUGUUCGGAAUUACUGGGCGUAAAGGGCGCGUAGGCGGUGUGUCAAGUCAGGCGUGAAAGCCCCGGGCUCAACCUGGGAACCGCGCUUGAGACUGGCACGCUAGAGUUCGGGAGAGGAUGGUGGAAUUCCCAGUGUAGAGGUGAAAUUCGUAGAUAUUGGGAAGAACACCGAUGGCGAAGGCAGCCAUCUGGACCGACACUGACGCUGAGGCGCGAAAGCGUGGGGAGCAAACAGGAUUAGAUACCCUGGUAGUCCACGCCGUAAACGAUGAGUGCUAGACGUCGGGGCCCUCAGGGCUUCGGUGUCGCAGCUAACGCGUUAAGCACUCCGCCUGGGGAGUACGGCCGCAAGGUUA